AUUGAACGCUGGCGGCAGGCCUAACACAUGCAAGUCGAGCGGAUGAAGGGAGCUUGCUCCUGGAUUCAGCGGCGGACGGGUGAGUAAUGCCUAGGAAUCUGCCUGGUAGUGGGGGAUAACGUCCGGAAACGGGCGCUAAUACCGCAUACGUCCUGAGGGAGAAAGUGGGGGAUCUUCGGACCUCACGCUAUCAGAUGAGCCUAGGUCGGAUUAGCUAGUUGGUGGGGUAAAGGCCUACCAAGGCGACGAUCCGUAACUGGUCUGUGAGGAUGAUCAGUCACACUGGAACUGAGACACGGCCCAGACUCCUACGGGAGGCAGCAGUGGGGAAUAUUGGACAAUGGGCGAAAGCCUGAUCCAGCCAUGCCGCGUGUGUGAAGAAGGUCUUCGGAUUGUAAAGCACUUUAAGUUGGGAGGAAGGGCAGUAAGUUAAUACCUUGCUGUUUUGACGUUACCAACAGAAUAAGCACCGGCUAACUUCGUG
rnacentral:rRNA from 1 species